rnacentral:rRNA from 1 species
GAUGAACGCUAGCGGCAGGCUUAAUACAUGCAAGUCGUGGGGCAGCAUGAGUGUAGCAAUACUUUGAUGGCGACCGGCAAACGGGUGCGGAACACGUACACAACCUUCCUUUUAGUGGGGAAUAGCCCAGAGAAAUUUGGAUUAAUACCCCGUAACAUAGCGAUGUGGCAUCACAUUGCUAUUAUAGCUUCGGCGCUAGAUGAUGGGUGUGCGUAUGAUGAGAUAGUUGGCGAGGUAACGGCUCACCAAGUCUACGAUCAUUAGCUGAUGUGAGAGCAUGAUCAGCCACACGGGCACUGAGACACGGGCCCGACUCCUACGGGAGGCAGCAGUAAGGAAUAUUGGUCAAUGGACGAAAGUCUGAACCAGCCAUGCCGCGUGAAGGAUUAAGGUCCUCUGGAUUGUAAACUUCUUUUAUAUGGGACGAAAAAAGGUCUUUCUAGAUCACUUGACGGUACCAUAUGAAUAAGCACCGGCUAACUCCGUGCCAGCAGCCGCCGCAGUAA